UAUAUGCUCGCUGUAUCAAUCAAAUACAAAUCACAAAAAUCCUCAACGAGAGAGAAGAGAAAAAAAUGUCUUCGACCCUUCAGCCGGAGAUGGACAACGACUCAAUGGCAUCAUCGCCGAGAUCGGAGUAUGAUAAUCAGCCAUGUGUACGGUUCAUGUGCACUUUUGGAGGAAGGAUCUUGCCUCGUCCACCCGAUAAUCAGCUAAGCUACGUUGGCGGGGACAAUCGUAUGAUCGCCGUUCACCGUAACUCUAGUUUUGCCUCUCUACUCAACAAACUUGCUAAACUCUCCGGUAAAAGCAACAUCAGCGUGAAGUACCAGCUACCAAACGAAGAUCUUGACGCGUUGAUCUCCGUAUCAACGGACGAGGAUGUAGAGAACAUGAUAGACGAAUACGACCGCGUCGCACAGAAUCAAAACCCACGCUCCUCUCGUCUCCGUCUCUUCCUCUUCACCAAUAACAUCGCCGGAGAAGAUGAUAACGAUAGUCGAGCAAGCAGUAUCAGCUCUCUCCUCGAUAGCUCCGUCAAUCGAGAGCAAUGGUUCCUCGACGCUCUCAAUCUCGGCUCCUCCGCCGUAUCCAACGGUGGUUCCGGCAAAGGUUUCGAGCGCGUCAGAUCUGAAGUCUCCUCGAUCGUCUCCGAGGUUCCUGAUUACCUCUUCGGGUUGGAUACUUUCGACGAGACUGCGCCGCCGCCGCAUGAGCUCCGUGAUCGUGAUCCGAGGGCUAAGAUUCGACGUGAAGUCUCGACGCUUUCGGAUCCUGGCUCGCCUCGUCGCGAUGUUCCUUCGCCGUAUGGUUCGACCUCUUCGGCUCCUGUGAUGCGGUCAUCUACACACGGAACUUCAACCGGUUCAAACUAAACCGGAUAGUCCAGAGCCGGUUUCGACUCCAAAAUCUGAUCCUCAACCGGAGCAAGUAAUUCAACAGAGUAAUCUUCCGGUUAACUCGCAGUGGCAAUAUGCCCAUGGAGCACAUGUUCAUUACCAGCAACCCGUUUAUUAUGUUCCUAGUUCGGUUCAACCAGGGAAUCAUAUGGUUCAACCGGGCAACCAAAUGGUUCAACAGGGUAACCAUAUGGUUCAACAGGGUAAUCAUAUGGUUCAGCCGGUUCAAAUGCCGGGUCAGUAUCUUCCACAAUACCAUCAUGUACCUAUGGGAUACACCACCAACCUCAGACUCAUCAGCUUCAUGGUCCUGGUAUGGGUCAAGUAUAUGGUGGAACUGUUAGGCCGGUUAUGAUGGCAGUUGAUGGAGUUAACCUGACAACUUAUUAUGAUACGAAAACGCCCGGUUCGGUUCAGAUGUAUCACCAUCACCCUGGCAUGGUUGUUCCUGGUGUGGAAAGACAAUACAGAACCGAAACGGAUUCUGAUCCGGGUCGGGCUUCUUAACGUGUUGAGGAGAAAUGAGAAAAUAAUCAUCGUCCUUGGAGGCGUGUCUAUGUGUGAACCGUGUAUUACAUUUUUUCUACUUUAUUUUAAUUUUCCAUUUUUGGUGUAAUUGUGAAACUUCUAUUACAACUACAAUGAAACCCAAUAUAAACCAUAUAGUUUAUAAAUAAUGAAGUAUAUUCGUGA